rnacentral:rRNA from 1 species
GACGAACGCUGGCGGCGUGCCUAAUACAUGCAAGUAGAACGCACAGUUUAUACCGUAGCUUGCUACACCAUAGACUGUGAGUUGCGAACGGGUGAGUAACGCGUAGGUAACCUGCCUGGUAGCGGGGGAUAACUAUUGGAAGCGAUAGCUAAUACCGCAUAAUAUUAAUUAUUGCAUGAUAAUUGAUUGAAAGGUGCAAUUGCACCACUACCAGAUGGACCUGCGUUGUAUUAGCUAGUAGGUGAGGUAACGGCUCACCUAGGCGACGAUACAUAGCCGACCUGAGAGGGUGAUCGGCCACACUGGGACUGAGACACGGCCCAGACUCCUACGGGAGGCAGCAGUAGGGAAUCUUCGGCAAUGGACGAAAGUCUGACCGAGCAACGCCGCGUGAGUGAAGAAGGUUUUCGGAUCGUAAAGCUCUGUUGUAAGAGAAGAACGGGUGUGAGGGUGGAAAGUUCACACUGUGACG